rnacentral:sRNA from 1 species
UUUUUUUAUAUAUAUUGACAUAGAUUUACACCAUUUACUUAAAAUCAUAUAUUGUUUUCAUAAUUUUAAUUUAAAUUUACCGCCUCAAAAACAAAAGAAGUAGUUAGAGUACUAUACACUAGAGUAUGACUUUUGACCUUCUCAUUCUAAAUGCCUACAAUUAAUUAUGUAUUGUAAAGUUAAAAUGCAUUAAUGAUUUAGAAAAUAAAAAUACUAGAAUAUCAAUCUUUUGAUACAAUACUAAAAUUCUAGAAAAUCAAUCUUUGAAUUUGGGAGGGGUAUAAAACUAAAUUCAGUGAUAACUACGUACACUAAUUCAUAGUCCAAUUUGAUGCGAUCUGGAAAAAAUAAAAGACUAUACCUAGAUCAAUAAUAACUCAAUCCUUCCAUCCAAUGAUAAUUACAGUUGGGACUGGUAGAAUAAAAAAUUUCAACCUAUGAAAUAAGGGAUUUGAGCCUUAACAUACAUCCAAAUAGUAACAUAUGAUAAAUUUCUUAUCAUUGUUUGAUUGAAUGAUCAAAACUAUUAUGUAGAUCUAUAAAUGUGUGUUU